rnacentral:rRNA from 1 species
GUGGGGAAUAUUGGACAAUGGGCGAAAGCCUGAUCCAGCCAUGCCGCGUGUGUGAAGAAGGUCUUCGGAUUGUAAAGCACUUUAAGUUGGGAGGAAGGGCAGUAAGUUAAUACCUUGCUGUUUUGACGUUACCGACAGAAUAAGCACCGGCUAACUUCGUGCCAGCAGCCGCGGUAAUACGAAGGGUGCAAGCGUUAAUUGGAAUUACUGGGCGUAAAGCGCGCGUAGGUGGUUUUGUAAGUUGGAGGUGAAAUCCCCGGGCUCAACCUGGGAACUGCCUCCAAAACUGCAUGACUAGAGUACGGUAGAGGGUAGUGGAAUUUCCUGUGUAGCGGUGAAAUGCGUAGAUAUAGGAAGGAACACCAGUGGCGAAGGCGACUACCUGGACUGAUACUGACACUGAGGUGCGAAAGCGUGGGGAGCAAACAGGAUUAGAAACCCCGGUAGUCC